rnacentral:sRNA from 1 species
CUCACAACCAUCUGUAAUGGGAUCCAAUGCCCUCUUCUGGAGACUGCCGGGCUCUGGGAUGUCCGUUUUCCCUCGUUAGAGGUGAUCCGAUGUCACCGUGGUCAAGAGCUGCAGCACACAGGGCCUCCGGUGCACCCCACCCACUCCAUUCCUGCGUCCUUUCUUCUUCAACCUUUAAUGAAAGUUUGAGACAAAGGAUAACUGCUAACUUUUCGACGAUCAACACUAGUUGUUUUCUUUGGUUUUAUCACCCAACUCUUUAGUUUCCGGCAGUGGAAUAGGAGUGCCGAGUGGAUAGUCUGGGAUUCUGGAAGACAAGCGCCUCUCCGGCAACAGGAGUAACGAUCGAUCGAUCGCAUCAGCCUUUCUGCCUUCUCUGAACCAUAGCUGCUCCAAGAAGGCUUCAAAGCGAUUCACUCAAUGGUCUUAAGGGCAGGGCCUGUUUUGUGUAUAAAUGCCUUUUUUAUUUUAAUUAAUUAAUUAAUUAACUUUUGAUUCAGCUUUUGGUUUUAUUACCCUUCCCAGUUUUAGUCCAGGCAGAUGAUCAACUUUCCAAGGGCUAACUACAGCACCCCUCCCCUCCACUCUCAGGCAUCAGAUGACCCUUUCAGAUUUCUCCACAAUCCCAUCUUCAAAAAAGAUUUUUCUUUUACCUUGUUCAUUUAACAAUGGCCAAUUUGUCGCCUCUCAGCAAAGUGUAGGUUCCGUAUGUGGCUGUCCGCUCUUGCUUACUGGCCUUCCCCAGCAUGUGGCAUAAUUGAGUACUUUGUUAUUGUUACUAAUUGGUAAGACCCUAUAAGCCAGUUCAUGCAGGUUAAGAUUUGAAGGAGCUAUAAGGGGAAAUGAUCAGCCUUAUUGGAAGGGAAGUGGUUCGAAGGCACCACCUAGGCAAAUGUCAAUGCUUUUAAAAAUAAAAUACGUAAGAGCCAGGAGCAAACGUGUUUAUGAGCAUCAGAAUCAAAGGCUUAUUUCAUUAUGCAUGUGAACCGUCUAAGCAGAAGGACUGGAGACAUGGCUCAGUGGUUAAGAGCACUUGCAGACGAGAGUGUGUGUUUUCUAGCACUCAUAAGCGUGACCUCCAGGGGAUCUGAUGCCCUCUGCUGGCCUCUGUAAGUACUUAUCUAAUGGUUUAUCUUCCCAAAACCAUCAUCAUAAAUCCCUUUCCACCAAGUUUUGCAAAUCCCGCAUUGGAUCCUGUAUUUAGUCAGUCCCUAUAAAAAUAACAGGACUGGGAAAAACUUGUCCCUUUCUCCCCUGUUGUGGUGCACAUUUUCUGCAUAUUUCAAUUUUUGCUGCUGGGUAGAUCUGAGGUAUAGAUUUAAUGCUAUCAGAAGUUAAAUUAUAUCUCAAUCAUUACAGCCUUCUGUGUGGGACCAGGCAUCAGCCAGAAAGCAUGAGGAAUGCUUACAUUCUGCUUAUGGCUGGAUGUACAACUAUCUUUUGCAUUCACAUCUAAACAAUUGACCCAGAAUUCCUCAGCACUGAUCACCUGACUCACAAGGUCUGCAUGGAGCUGGGAUAGAACAGCAGCUCCUGGGAGCGUCUGUCUCGUCCAUUUCCUCAUUUGCAUUCCUUGGCCCUACAUCUAGUCUUUGCUGUUCCUUUGCUGGAGAGAUGGAAGUUGGUUAUGUUCCCUGCCUGUGGGAUCAGCUGAAGCUGAAUUUUAGCUUUUCUCUGGACUGCCUUUCUGGCAUUUAGUAUCUACAUUCAUACGGUUGACUGCGAAUCUAUCCUUGCCUUCAGGUGCCAAGUAAUUCUUUCUGCCAUGAGGUAUGGAGCUCUACCCUGCCUCUUCUGACGAACCUUCACCAUCAGCGCUUCUUCAGGUGGAUGGUGCAAUGUAUUUUAUUACCCAACAUUAAAAAGAUUAUUUUUUAUUAUUUAUUUUUGUAUAGAAAAGUAUGUCUGUGUGUGGGUGUGUUAUGUGCACAUGAGUGUGGACCCUAAGAAGUUUAAGGAAGGGCGUCAGAUGUCAGGAGCUAGCGUUACAGGUGGUUUUGAGCGGCCUGAUGUUGGACGCUCGGAACUAAACUGAGGUGGGUUCUCUGGGAGAGCAAUAUGUGCUCUUAAGCACUGAGCUAGGUCUCCAUGCCCAACCUAACCUUUUGAUACCAAAAUAUAUAAUAGAGUUCAACAAGUUUGGGUCAGGUAAGCUACCUGAUACUGUUGUUGGAUCAAUGAGAGAAACAAUCACAGAAAGUGUGACUUUUACAAAGAUAUUUAAUGCCUGAUGGGUGGGAAGAAGCAUGAGCUGCCACUACUUUUGAACGCAUCCCUUGCUUUGCAUUCCUCUGCACAAACUAAUGCACCCCAGACCUUAGCUUUUUCCUUCGGGAUCAAUCGCUGAGGGUUUGGUUAGGGAGCAUUCAAGUUAUGUGAAAAGCCGGCAUCCCAAGAGUCUGCAGACUUUAUCAAGCAUCAUGAAAUCAGAGAAGACAGUGUCAGUCAUCAACUGAAGCGCGACUCACUACACACCUGAGGCUGGCAGUCUUCAUUUCUGGAGAGCUCUUCGUGCUUUUCCUCUGAAGUCAAUUCUAAACCUGGUUCUGCUGAGAAAUGUGUAUGUAUGAUUUAAGUUAAUUACUUAAAACAGUCAAGGCAAUAGGUGUUAUAAAAAUUGAUAGACAAUAAUAACUGA